CAAAAAUUAUCCGGGCCUUAUCCUUCUUAAAACAUCAAAAUGCACCUAGAAUCACAACUAGUUAGAUUUAGACCUAGAACUAUAGGCGUCCAGUGCCAUCUCUCUUCACCACACUACAUUUCCUGAUGGAGUGGACUUUUUAAGUACCUAGGUACUCUGUAUCCAAUGGAACCUGUUCCGGUUGUGUUUCCUGCAUCAUCCUUUUGAGGGCUGGGUGUUCGGCGAAUACACAAGCGAGCAAAUGAUGCUCCCAAGCACCGAUGGAAAGCUGUGUGAAGCGUGGGUUCUUUCCACUUGGGAGCCCUAACAUCACGCCACCACACAGACAGCUAGCCAGACCCCAGGCGGCGCGUUCUGCCGCGGACCGCCGGGCCACCGCGCUGGCCCAGCAGCGCCCCCCUCUGUCCUCCCGCAGCCUUGCAUCGGGUCGCCACUGGCCGCGCGCUUUUUUCCAGGGUAAAGGAAGCUCGGCCUCUGGGCUCCAGGCCUGAUGGGGUGAGGGACUUCUCCCUCCCUAUACGUCCCCCACCCUCCCACAUACACACAUUAAACCCUGACCCAGGGCCGUUUCUGGAUCCAGAGGCACGCGCUUCUUACCCGGCGAGCAAGUCCCGACACCAAGCGUCGUCGGUCCCCUCCCUUCCCAGACAGAUUAACGGGUUAACGCGACGGCGCGCCCACCCGCAGGUUUUAUUUAGGGUUCUGGGGAGACUAGAGGAGAAAGGGGUCGACUAAUGUGUGCGGUGCGUGCGCAGAUAAAACUUUCGCAACGCGUGGGCUUGGCCCCAGCCCCGUCGCGACCCCGGGACGCUCCGGGGCCGCUCUAGGCCUGAACCACACCCGCGCCGGCGGCGCGUCGUCGCCCCUUCUCGGGCCGGGCGGCGGGGCGGAGGCCGCAGUGCCGCGCGAGCAUCUGCAGAACAAAGACUCGGGUCCAGCCCUAGACUGAGAACGGCCGCCGCCGUCUCCCCGGCCCGGCCGCCCUGACCCAGCCAAGCCCGAAACCCACCCGAGCGGCGGGGGCCGGCUCCACGCGCGCUGCCAAACCAGCGGGGACCCGGAGACGACUGAACCCGGAGGCCCCAGGGGGUCAUCGGGAAACGUCUGUUCAUCAAGGCAAACUUGUGAAUUGCUUCUUCUACGGAGUACUUAGUCUGCCCGGAAACACAUGCCUCGAUGUCUUCUGAAUUCAGAUGGCUUUGCAGGAAGAGGUGAAGGCUGCUAUCUGAAAGCAGAAGUGCAUUCUGUAGGACCCUAUGUAAAAGAAAAAAGGAGACAUGACCAGUGGACAGGGAUGGACAAUUAUAGGGUGGGAAAGAGAAAAACAUUAGAAAUAUGCCACUGAAGUAAUUUCUCUACUAUGGCAAACUUGGCAUCAAUUACGACUCUGCCUAUUGAAGGGAUGAAAGCAUAUGUUAACUUUUAUUCGAUGAUUUGGAAACUUAGGUGAGUAAAAACAUGAAGCUAAUAGUUAAGAACAUCUGUUAAAAGAAUAACUUCAAGGACAUUUCUUCAAUUUAACCAUCUGUUAUGACCAUGUGGAUUAAUUAUGGAAAUAUUUUGCUUAGAUAGUCACAGAAAUUUAUUCUGCUUUUAAAAAAAUUUACUGCCAACCAGCAUGUCAAUUCUGUGAUCUUUAUUGUCUAGGCUGUCAUAAAACAUCAAAACUUUCAACUAUUAAAAACUAUAUUGAAAAGUCAA